rnacentral:lncRNA from 1 species
CUGGAACAAAGACAAAAAAGACAAGAUUUAAACCAAAUGAAAAAGAUUCAAUCUGCCUGCUCUGCCACACCAACCUUCCAAAAGACUACUUGAAAAGAGACAGCUAUAAUUUGAUCAGUCCACAAUGAAACUGCUACACACAGCACUAAAAACACAGCAAGUGAACAGAAUCACCCCGAAAAAGACAAAUCACAUGUAAUUCAAAGGAGGCUCCAAGUCAAUCAAGGUAAAAAUAAUUUAUAAUAUUGGGACAACUAGUUAUCAAUUUUAGCAAAAAACAAAAAUGAGAAAAUUAUCAUCUUAUAUUAUGGUGGGGAGGGGAAUCAAUUCUGAAAGUAAGAAAAUUUCUAAAUUUAAAAACAGAGCAAACCACAAGGAGAUAAACAGAUAGGACUAUUAAACAUUUAAAGUUUCUCUCUCUCUAUAUAUAUAUAUAUUAAACUCUAUAAUUAAACAGCAACCCAAGAAAAAAAAUCAGAGGAUACAGACCCAAAAGACAAGCGAGUAAAGCACGAGAACUUCCUGAUUUAGCUAUGCGGCUUUGAAAUAAAUGUAUGUUAAAAGUUACGAUAGACUAUUGUCAUGUUUCUUAUUAGCAGAGAUUUAUUUUUUUAAAAAAUUAACUUGAUGGUCAACAGUGUGGUAAAACAAACACUCUUCUACAUUUCUGUGACAAUGUAAAUUGGUACAAUUCUUUUGGAUCGACACUCCCAUCCCAAAUUUAUCAAUAAUUUUAUGUACAGGGCUAUUUAGUAUACAUUAAAAAGUUUUUUUAUAAAUGAAAAUGACUUAAACAUUCAAGAGUAAAUUAUGGUAUAUCCAUUAGAUGAGUAUUAAAUAGCCAUUAAACAGAUUAUUUUUGUGUGGCAGGACUAUAAUAAUUUUCCUUCUGUUUUACUUUUCCAAUUUUCUAUAAGGAUCAUAUAGUAUCAUCUUGUGAAAAAUUAUUUUUAAAAGUCACAUUUACCUAUGAGUUAUUAAUUUUCACUACAUAUAUACUUUCUCAUAAAAAUUUAACUUGUACAAAAUUUUCAAAAUUCUAUUACCUGCCAAAAUUAAUUUUAAUAUUGGAUAACCAGUAGUAUGGAAUUUCAUUACAAAGAAAUGUGUAAAUGUUUGGGAGGUCGAGGAGGGCAGAUCGCAAGGUCAGGAGAUCGAGACCAUCCUGGCUAACAUGGCGAAACCCCG